rnacentral:lncRNA from 1 species
CACACAUUCAUCUGUACGGGCCUGUGGACUGGAGCGUCUGUACAGAUAUAAUAAAAGAAGUGUUUGUCCUAUUCAUAAACAAAUGAAGAGAAAGGCAGUUCAGACCCGCCUUACCUAUCAGUCAACGAAGCUGGUGACCUCCAUCUGUGUGCAUGACUAACAUUCUCCCAGUGUGAUAAGCUGCAAACAAAAACCAGCCCCCAGUUCUUUAUCCUUCUUGUACCUCAGCCCCACGCAAUGCGAUACCCUCAAAGCAGGUAACCUGCUGCCCCACCCUUGGCAUCCAGCCGAUGGGGUGACUUCCUGUAACCAAUAAAAUGGGCAUAAGUGACACUGUGCCUGUCUUGAGCCUGAACUGUCUGA